rnacentral:rRNA from 1 species
GAUGAACGCUGGCGGCGUGCCUAAUACAUGCCAGUCGAGCGAACAGACGAGGAGCUUGUUCAUCUGCCGUUAGCGGCGGACGGGUGGGUGAGAAGUGGAUAACCUACCUAUACGACUGGGCUAACUUCGGGAACCAGGAGCUAAUAACGGCUAAUAGUUUUAACCUCAUGGUUCAAUAGUGAAAGGCAGGUUUGAUGUCACUUAUAGAUGGAUCCGGGCCGCGUUAGCUAGUUGGUAAGGUAACGGCUUACCAAGGCAACGAGGCGUAGCCGACCUGGGGGGGUGGUCGGCCAAAAUGGAACGGAGACACGGUCCAGACUCCUACGGGAGGCAGGAGGAGGGAAGCAUCCGCAAUGGGCGAAAGCUUGACGGAGCAACGGCGCGUGAGUGAUGAAGGGCUUCGGAUCGGAAAACUCGGUUAUAAGGGAAGAUCAAAUGUGUAAGUAACGAUGCACUGCUGGACCGUAACUAAUCAGAAAGGGCCAGCUAACUG